AAUUUUUUUAAACAAAGAAGUCUUUAAGUGAUGACACUUGCCUGUUAUAUACAUGAAAAGAGUGCAUCACAAUUAGCAUAUAGCUAAAAGUAAUAAACUUGUAUGGUAGAUCCAUGUACGUGUGGUUAUCAUGUUACCUGAGCUGAACAACUAUUGUUAUUCUUGGAGUAACAUGAAAAUUCAAGUAAUUCAUAACUAUAUUCCAGAAUAAAAUAACUAUAGGAGACAAAAAAGAUUUGCCGCAUACACGAAAACUUGUACAGAAAUGUCACCUAGUUUAACUGAACUUAAAAUCUAGUAACAAUGUAGCAAAGUCGGCAGUCACCUACCUGCAACUCUAAAAAAUAAACAAAAUGCCAUUUUUCAGAUGUGAACUAAUGGAUACUAGUAUAACAAUAGAAUAAAUGAAAAGUCAGGAGAAAGAAAACUUAUUCCAUCAGGAACUAUGAAUGUGUCUAAUGUAACUUUGAAUAUACGAUGAUCAAGACCUUCAACCUGAAAAAGACGAUGAUCAUCAAAUCAGCAUCAGAAAUACUACAUGGAGGUGCUAGGUAAGGAGUUGAUGGCGAGAUUCAUAUCGAGAAUGGUAUUAUAAAGCCCAUCACAUGUCUCCUCAGAUGCCCAUUAAUUUCUGAGUUUGUGAUGGCUAUUUUAAGCUGCACCAUGCACCUGACAUGUUACUAGAGAAGAAGAGAUAAACCGGUCCAGUUUGGCCUGGCUGUCCAGGAGGAACUGAGCGCAUAGUUACUGGAUUAGUUCAUCUAUCUAAUGGCAUUGGUCAAGUAUAUUGCAACAACAGGUCAAAAGGACCACAACCCCUCAAAUUCGAUAAACAUUGUCAGUGUCCCCCCCUCAAUAGCUUACCACCGAUAGAAAUGAGCAGCCCAGAAACCUUCUACCGUAGUGGCAGAGUCAGCUUAAAAAACGCUACCAUUGCCAUGCUAGAAGCUCUACCAAGAGUUGUUGAAUCCUCACCUCGUAUAAGUCACAUGAGACCCAACUUACAUACUCCUCAACAGAGAUGGGGGUUAGAUAUAGUACUUCUCCAAGAUUUCCAUAUUUUUGGCCCGAGAAAGAAUAAACUAACCUGAAACCACAAUAUCAAGUGUAAAUCAAAAGUAAUUUAGUGGGAUGUACAUAUCUACAUAAAAGAUAUAUACUAUGAUGGAAAUUACAAAAGAAACGUUUGUUUUAAAUUGUCAAGCAACAAAAUAAUUAAACAUGUCUGAUUUAUAUGUUAGAUGAAAAUCCAUAGGUGCAUGUACGGAACCAAAACACAAUCAGAUUCCUCUUCGAUUCAUUGCACCGGAGAACAAACAUCAUGGGCAUACACAUAAAACGAAGGAUAAUUUCACAGCAUGACACGACGUGUACGCAUUACUAGGAGCAAUGAAACCAUCUCACCAUGGCACGGAUGCACUCCUCGAAGGAUUCAUGCUACUUGUCACAGAGCUGCUGCAAGUAGUGUAGAUGUUGUAUAUCAUGGUAUGCGACAAAUAGAGAAAAACAACAGGGGCGGAAACCCUAGAUCCGCACCGGAUUAGAACAAAUCACGCCUAAUACAGAUAGAGAAAAACAGGGGGACCCAAGAUUAGCAUUGGAUUAGAACGAAUCGGGCCUAGCCGGGGCAUGUCCGGAGGUGGAGGGAGGAGGCAACGGAUUCAACUUACGUGUCUUCCUCAUUUAAUCCUUGAAGCUAAAUUUGGCUCUGGCUUGCCCUGAAGGAUGCCGAUGAGAUUAUUGGUGCCCCACCUAGCCUCUAGAUCGAUCUUCUUGAGAUUCGGUCGUGCUCCGCCAUCGCCAUCAUACCCACUGAUUCUGCCCUGGGACGGACGUCGUAAACCCUAGAGGAGGUUGGAUUCUCUUGCAUCCAUGACUUUGUGGGGAGUUGAGAUGGUGGAGAUGGGAGACAGAGAGGUUAGCUUAUGAGGGAUUCAAGACGUUUCGCUUCCGCUUCGGCUGGUCGAGGAAUGAAAGUCAUAAGAGGAGGGGCGGGGAUUGUGGAGCAUGAAGGGGC
rnacentral:lncRNA from 1 species